CGAAGCGACAGCUCGCAACUGAGUGCGCUGUAGGAUCUCUCCCACACUGGAUUGGUCGUUCUCUUGCUGCUGCUGCUGCUGCCUAGAUUCAAUCAACCGCACCAUUACCUAUCCAUGAACAUGCUAGGUGUAUUCUCCAGGGGUAGGCAGCAACAGCAACAGGGACAGCCUCCCCCUACAACACAGAGUUGGUAUCCUCCUUCAGUUGCAGGCCCAGCUAGUAGUGGACGAACACGCACGCCACCGCCUCCUCCUCCAAAUUUGGGCGGCCGUCCUUCAGGAGGUAGUCCACUCUCUCGGACGUCUACCAGUGAAGCGUGCUCAACUUCAGGAGGUUAUAUACCACCGACCAGUGCACUAGCUUCGUCGCCGAGGCCACACACAUCGAAUUCUGUUCCUUCUAAUUCUGUGGCAGCUUGAGAGAAAAGAGGUGAUCUCUUUGUCCACAAGGUAGCACAUUUUUGAAGGUAUGUGGGAAAUAAUCAGAAGUAUUUAUGACUCAUGCCUUGGGCAGCGGUGAAAAAAGCAAUAUUUAACUACGGCCCCACAUUCAACAAUAGGAGUUGGUGCAGGUAAAAAGACCAGAGGAGUUGACCUUAUUGCUGAAUGACAAAGACGCGUACAAUUCUUUUCUACAUUCACUUGAUGAAGUAAAGAGGCUGGAUAUGAUCAGCGCCGAACUAGAGAAAUCAACUAUAUAUGAAUCAAAAAAAAAUUUAGCUAAGGAGUCAGAAAUUGCAGAACUCAAGACUCAGUGCAUGAUCAUAAAGAAUACAGAGCUUGCUGACACUAAAGAAAAAUUUGAAGAAGUUGAUAAAAGGUACAUGGAGGUGCAAGCCAAUUCCUCGCCAUCAGCCUUUCUUCAAGAGCUCCAAGUUGCCGCAAAUGAAGUUGAUGAAGAUUCUGAGAAUCUGCAUUGAAAAUUUCUAGCAGGAGAAAUAGAGCUUCUUGAGUUCACUCAAAAGUACCGUAAGCAGCGUCUCCUUUACCACAGACGUUCGUUGAUUCGCAUGGCGGCAAUUUCCUCCAUGACGACUCCAGGAUAGACUUAGUAAUAGAAUUCUAGUGUACACAUUUAUAUAUAUCUAGUUGUACAGUGGAUUUAUCGCCCCACAAGAGGCAAAUGAUGUUCCAGAUUGUUUUUCCAGGAUUACUGUCAAUCUGGCCCUACUGGAUACCCUUAGACAAUGUCAGUGGCUGUAAUUGUGAUCUGACUUAAAAGGUAAAAAUUAAUGUAUCAGUUUUUUCCUGGGUAUGAGACUUUUCUUGCCCAAGUAAAGCCUUGUUUUUAGCA